rnacentral:rRNA from 1 species
AUACGGAGGACGCGAGCGUUAUCCGGAUUCAUUGGGUUUAAAGGGUGCGCAGGCGGCCGUGCAAGUCAGCGGUGAAAGCCCGGGGCUCAACCCCGGAAGUGCCGUUGAUACUGCAUGGCUGGAAUGCGGUCGAGGCGGGCGGAACGUGGCGUGUAGCGGUGAAAAGCGUAGAUAUGCCACAGAACGCCGAUAGCGGAGGCAGCUCGCCAGGCCUGCAUUGACGCUCGGGCACGAAAGCGUGGGGAUCGAACAGGAUUAGAUACCCUGGUAGUCCACGCCGUAAACGAUGGGCGCUCGUCGUCGGCGGCAGACAGUCGGCGGCCAAGCGAAAGCGAUAAGCGCCCCACCUGGGGAGUACGGUCGCAAGGCUGAAACUCAAAUGAAUUGACGGGG